rnacentral:rRNA from 1 species
AUGGAGGGGCUCGACGUCGACGACGUCUUCCACCACUACCGGCUGUGCCCUACGGAAGUGGAGGCCGUCACCUACUACCUGCCACGCCUCCUCUCCGGCGAGACGCUGCACGGCGCCGACAAGCUCAUCCACCGCGUCGAAAUCUCCGGCUGCGAGCCCAAGGAUCUGGCCCGCCGGUUCGCGCCCGUGCCGCAGGCCGUGAGCAGCGGCGACCGGUUCUUCUUCACCACGUGCAAGAGCAAGAACGGGAGCAAGCUCCAGAGCGUGCGCGGAGCCGGCAGCGGCACCUGGAGCAUCCAGAAGACCACCGAGAUUAGCCACGCGGGAUGCAAGGUCGGCGAGGUCAAGAACCUGUCCUUCAAGAAGCAGGGCAAGUCCACCGGCUGGGUCAUGGAGGAAUACCGAUGCCUGCUGCCGGAGGCCACCGUCUCCGACGGGGUGAAGGUGUUCUGCAAGAUGCACUUGGCUCAGCAUGCCCCUGACGCGGCCCGCCAGGAAUCGGAAGCGUACAAGCUUCAGCAACAGCAACCAGAGGCCGUGACCCCGAGCACGCACGCGCAGAAGAGGCCAGCGCCCGCUGCCGCUGCCGAGCCUCAUCCGCCGCGCCCCAAGAAGAGGAUGCGCGGUGCCGUCCCCGUCCCGGCACUUGCCACACCGUCGUUCUUGAUGUAUGAUGAGGCAGCCAGAGCAAUGCAUGGCCCGCUGGCUCACACCAACUUCCCUAUUCAGUAUGCACAAGCAUCAUGCGAGUCCACUACAACAUCCAGCCGCUCCGACGUUGCUCAAGCUCCUGAGAUUUCCUCCCAGUCAGAUGUGCUGGAGUCCACCCAAUCAGUUGUGCUGGAGUCUGUCAAGCAUUACAGCCAACAACAGAUUGUUCCUGAGGCUGGCUCAAGCAUUGCAAGGAUUGGGAGCACAUCUGAAGAGGAUGUCUUUGAGCCAUUGGGGCCUUUUUCGAUUUGCCGGAUUGGGAGGAAGAUGGUUUUGAUCUUGAAGAACUAA